GGGCUUGGCGGCAGCUACACAUGCAAGUCGAACGGUAGCACAGAGAGCUUGCUCUCGGGUGACGAGUGGCGGACGGGUGAGUAAUGUCUGGGAAACUGCCUGAUGGAGGGGGAUAACUACUGGAAACGGUAGCUAAUACCGCAUAACGUCGCAAGACCAAAGAGGGGGACCUUCGGGCCUCUUGCCAUCAGAUGUGCCCAGAUGGGAUUAGCUAGUAGGUGGGGUAACGGCUCACCUAGGCGACGAUCCCUAGCUGGUCUGAGAGGAUGACCAGCCACACUGGAACUGAGACACGGUCCAGACUCCUACGGGAGGCAGCAGUGGGGAAUAUUGCACAAUGGGCGCAAGCCUGAUGCAGCCAUGCCGCGUGUAUGAAGAAGGCCUUCGGGUUGUAAAGUACUUUCAGCGGGGAGGAAGGUGUUGUGGUUAAUAACCACAGCAAUUGACGUUACCCGCAGAAGAAGCACCGGCUAACUCCGUGCCAGCAGCCGCGGUAAUACGGAGGGUGCAAGCGUUAAUCGGAAUUACUGGGCGUAAAGCGCACGCAGGCGGUCUGUCAAGUCGGAUGUGAAAUCCCCGGGCUCAACCUGGGAACUGCAUUCGAAACUGGCAGGCUGGAGUCUUGUAGAGGGGGGUAGAAUUCCAGGUGUAGCGGUGAAAUGCGUAGAGAUCUGGAGGAAUACCGGUGGCGAAGGCGGCCCCCUGGACAAAGACUGACGCUCAGGUGCGAAAGCGUGGGGAGCAAACAGGAUUAGAUACCCUGGUAGUCCACGCCGUAAACGAUGUCGAUUUGGAGGUUGUGCCCUUGAGGCGUGGCUUCCGGAGCUAACGCGUUAAAUCGACCGCCUGGGGAGUACGGCCGCAAGGUUAAAACUCAAAUGAAAUGACGGGGGCCCGCACAAGCGGUUGGAGCAUGUGGUUUAAUUCGAUGCAACGCGAAGAACCUUACCUGGUCUUGACCUUCCACAGAACCUUCCAGAGAUGGAUUGGUGCCUUCGGGACCUGUGAGACAGGGUGCUGCAUGGCUGUCGUCAGCUCGUGUUGUGAAAUGUUGGGUUAAGUCCGCACGAGCGCAACCCUUAGCUAUUGUGCCAUCGGGUCAGGCGGCAACUCACAGAGGACCUGACAAGUGGAUAACUGGAGGGAUGAUGGGAUUGAAGUCUAGUCUCAUCACUGCUCAUUCACUACUAGGCAUACU
rnacentral:rRNA from 1 species